AUUGAACGCUGGCGGCAUGCUUUACACAUGCAAGUCGAACGGCAGCGCGGGGCAACCUGGCGGCGAGUGGCGAACGGGUGAGUAAUAUAUCGGAACGUACCCAGAAGUGGGGGAUAACGUAGCGAAAGUUACGCUAAUACCGCAUACGAUCUACGGAUGAAAGUAGGGGACCGAAAGGCCUUAUGCUUUUGGAGCGGCCGAUAUAUGAUUAGCUAGUUGGUGAGGUAAAGGCUCACCAAGGCGACGAUCAGUAGCUGGACUGAGAGGACGACCAGCUACACUAGAACUGAGACACGGUCCAGACUCCUACGGCAGGCAGCAGUGGGGAAUUUUUGACAAUGGGCGCAAGCCUGAUCCAGCAAUGCCGCGUGAGUGAAGAAGGCCUUCGGGUUGUAAAGCUCUUUUGUCAGGGAAGAAACGGUAGAGGCUAAUAUCCUUUGCUAAUGACGGUACCUGAAGAAUAAGCACCGGCUAACUACGUG
rnacentral:rRNA from 1 species